AACUAAAUCAAAGCGGCGCUAAAGGGGACAUAGUGUUAUUGACAAACCCAUUUCUUGUUGUUAUGUGAUUCCACCUACAUGACCUACACAUGAGAUGUAAAAUUUGUUCCGGUCCGUUGAUUUUUGAAGAUGAUAAGGGCCUUUGACUUAUUUAAAGGGUUGUAAUAAGCUUUAAAAGAAGGUAAUUUUUAUGCCCCCGGUAGGGUGGUAUUUAGCAGUUGAACUGUCCGCCAGAGUGUCAGUAUGUGUGUAUGUCACUCUGUCAGUCCGUCCGGAAAAAAACUUUAACGUUUGCCAUAACUUUUCAAUAUUUAACAUAGCAACUUGAUAUUUGGCAUGCAUGUGCAUCUCAUGGAGCUGCACAUUUUAAGUGGUGAAAGGUGAAGGUCAAGGUCAUCCUUCAAGGUCAAAUGUCUAAUAUAUGGCGUCUGUCCGUCCCUCCGAAAACUUUAACAUUAGCCAUAACUUUUUCACUAUUGAAAAUAGCAACUUGAUAUUUGGCAUGCAUGUGUAUCUCCUGGAGCUGAACAUUUUGAGUGGUGAAAGGUGAAGGUCAAGGUCAUCCUUCAAGGUCAAAUGUCUAAUAUAUGGCGUCUGUCUGUCCGUCCAAAAACUUUAACAUUGGCCAUAACUUUUUCACUAUUGAAGAUAGCAACUUGAUAUUUGGCAUGCAUGUGUAUCUCAUGGAGCUGAACAUUUUGAGUGGUGAAAGGUGAUGGUCAAGGUCAUCCUUCAAGGUCAAAUGUCAAAUAUAUGGCAUCUGUCCGUCCGAAAACUUUAACAUUGGCCAUAACUUUUUCAAUAUUGAAGAUAGCUACUUGAUAUUUGGCAUGCAUGUGUAUCUCAUGAAGCUGCACAUUUUGAGUGGUUGAAGUUCAAGAGCGCGAACGCAAAGAAGAAGAAGAAGAAGUUGAAGUUCAAGGUCAAGGUCUUCCUUCAAGGUCAAAGGUAAAAAAAAAAAUCAAAGCGGCAUUCUCAUGAAGCUGCACAUUUUGAGUGGUGGAAGUUCAAGGUCAAGGUCAUCCUUCAAGGUCAAAGGUCAAAAAAAAAUAAUUAAAAAUUCAAAGCGGCGUUCUCAUGAAGCUGCACAUUUUGAGUGGUGGAAGUUCAAGGUCAAGGUUAUCCUUCAAGGUCAAAGGUAAAAAAAAAAAACAUUUUUUUUUUCAAAGCGGCGCAAUAGGGGGCAUUGUGUUUCUGACAAACACAUCUCUUGUUUUACAGCAGUUACUGUAGUAUUUCACUGACAGUAUGUAAUACUUUUAAAGAUAAAACAAUUAGACAAUUAAACAUUAUGCUGCUUUUGAUAUUGAGCUGCUAUUUGGUGUGCGAGUCCACAUAAAUGCCCAACAGAUGAAGAGUGAAAUUCGUUAAGGUUCAUUGAUUUGUGCGGAAGUUAUGGGCCUUGGACUUAAAAAUGUAUAUAAAAAUGUUUGUUUGCGCCAACUUUAACAUUUGCAAUAACUUUUGCUAUAUUGAAGAUAACAACUUCAUAUUUGGCAUGCAUGUGUAUCUCAUGGAGCUGCACAUUUUGAGUGGUGAAAGGUCAAGGUCAUCCUUCAAGGUCAAAGGUCAAAAAAACUAAAUCAAAGCGGCGCUAAAGGGGACAUAGUGUUAUUGACAAACCCAUUUCUUGUUGUUAUGUGAUUCCACCUACAUGACCUACACAUGAGAUGUAAAAUUUGUUCCGGUCCGUUGAUUUUUGAAGAUGAUAAGGGCCUUUGACUUAUUUAAAGGGUUGUAAUAAGCUUUAAAAGAAGGUAAUUUUUAUGCCCCCGGUAGGGUGGUAUAUAGCAGUUGAACUGUCCGCCAGAGUGUCAGUAUGUGUGUAUGUCACUCUGUCAGUCCGUCCGGAAAAAAACUUUAACGUUUGCCAUAACUUUUCAAUAUUUAACAUAGCAACUUGAUAUUUGGCAUGCAUGUGCAUCUCAUGGAGCUGCACAUUUUAAGUGGUGAAAGGUGAAGGUCAAGGUCAUCCUUCAAGGUCAAAUGUCUAAUAUAUGGCGUCUGUCCGUCCCUCCGAAAACUUUAACAUUAGCCAUAACUUUUUCACUAUUGAAAAUAGCAACUUGAUAUUUGGCAUGCAUGUGUAUCUCCUGGAGCUAAACAUUUUGAGUGGUGAAAGGUGACGGUCAAGGUCAUCCUUCAAGGUCAAAUGUCAAAUAUAUGGCAUCUGUCCGUCCGAAAACUUUAACAUUGGCCAUAACUUUUUCAAUAUUGAAGAUAGCUACUUGAUAUUUGGCAUGCAUGUGUAUCUCAUGAAGCUGCACAUUUUGAGUGGUUGAAGUUCAAGAGCCCGAACGCAAAGAAGAAGAAGUUGAAGUUCAAGGUCAAGGUCUUCCUUCAAGGUCAAAGGUAAAAAAAAAAAAUCAAAGCGGCAUUCUCAUGAAGCUGCACAUUUUGAGUGGUGGAAGUUCAAGGUCAAGGUCAUCCUUCAAGGUCAAAGGUCAAAAAAAAAUAAUUAAAAAUUCAAAGCGGCGUUCUCAUGAAGCUUCACAUUUUGAGUGGUGGAAGUUCAAGGUCAAGGUCAUCCUUCAAGGUCAAAGGUAAAAAAAAAAAAACAUUUUUUUUUUUCAAAGCGGCGCAAUAGGGGGCAUUGUGUUUCUGACAAACACAUCUCUUGUUUUACAGCAGUUACUGUAGUAUUUCACUGACAGUAUGUAAUACUUUAUAAGAUAAAACAAUUAGACAAUUAAACAUUAAGCUGCUUUUGAUAUUGAGCUGCUAUUUGGUGUGCGAGUCCACAUAAAUGCCCAACAGAUGAAGAGUGAAAUUCGUUAAGGUUCAUUGAUUUGUGCGGAAGUUAUGGGCCUUGGACUUAAAAAUGAAUAUUAACCCUUUCGGAGUUUUUUUACGGAAUGGUAUGUGACAUUACCUACAGAUAAAGUAUGUAUUCCUUCUGGUGAAUUGAUUUUCGGCGAAGUUAUGGGCCUUGGACUAAGAAAUUAUCUGUAUUAUAAUCUGUUUAUGGAGUUUUUUAUUUUAGAUAAUGAGCUGAUUUUUGGUACUUGAGUCUGCCAACAUUACUUACAGAUAAAGUGUGAGUUUCGUUAUUGAUUUUUUGGCUAAGUUAUGGGCCUUGUUUUCUCUAAAAUAGAUACUGUGGGACUUCAAAGGGCAGUAGGAGGCAUGGUGUUUCCCAAACGCAGCUCUUGUUAUUUCUUGUUGAUAUGCAUUUUCUGUG